UGAAAGGUGCCAGAUUAACUGAAAGUCUGUGUUUACCCAAGAACAAGUGAAACACAAACAGUGGAAAUAAAAGCUUUAUCACACUGCCUUGUCCAGGGCUCAGCUCUGAGCUCUCUAUACUGUGAGAGGGUAGUUCAUGCUCCAUGGCCCAUUAAAUCUUGGCCUCU
rnacentral:sRNA from 1 species